UACACGGAGCCCCUCGCACUUAUCCGGAACCCCCAAACCAAUCCCCACUCCGAUCCCCUCCCCCUCUUCCCCCAAAUCUCGCGCGCCGCGAAACCCUAGCACCCUCCGCGAUCCGCUCGCCGGAGGGCCGGCGCCGAUGGAGGUGAAGCUGUGGAACGACAAGCGCGAGCGGGAGCUCCUGGAGAGCUACGCGGACCUGUACGCGAUCAUCAAGGCCACGGAGAAGCUUGAGCGGGCCUACGUCCGCGACCUCGUCUCCGCCGCCGACUACGAGGCGGAGUGCCUCAAGCUCAUCUCCCAGUUCAACUCCCUCUCCUCCUCGCUCGCCGGCGCCGUCACCGUCCCGCGCUUCGUCCAGGCGUACCGCCUCGACUGCCCCGCCGCGCUCAACCGCCUCCUGCAGUCGGGCGUCCCGGCCACCGUCGAGCUCCGCGCCGCGUCCAACUCCUCCGCGCCGGCCGCCACCGCCGCAUCCGCCGCCGCCAUCGCGCACUGCGUGCAGACAUUCAUCACCGCCAUGGACGCCGUCAAGCUCAACAUGCUCGCCAACGACCAGGUCCGACCGCUGCUGCAGGACGUCGCCACCUCCAUGGCCAGGCUCGGACCCCUGCUGCCGCCCGACUUCGAGGGGAAGGUCAAGGUCAACGAGUGGCUCGGCAAGCUGCAUAAGAUGGGCGCCGCGGAUGAGCUCACCGAGCAGCAGGCCAGGCAGCUCAACUUCGACCUCGACUCGGCGUACAGUGCCUUUUUGGCUGCGCUGCCUGCCAGCAUGUGACUGGGCAAGGAUAUGCCUGCUUCAUUCCUAUUUGGCACAUUAGAACCGUAACGGCAAAAUCUUGUGAUGUGUUUGUCACUUCGGAUUGAUCUCAUGAUCUUUCUACUCAUAAGAAUGGCCUAGUUGGAAUUGUGGAUACAUGUAAUUGGUUUUAUCGAUUCCUUGUUUGUUCUCAAACGCUCUGAAUAUGAACAGUAAUUAAAAGAAAGAACAUGCACAUAUCCUUGAUUCUA